GCCUACGGGACGCAGCAGUGAGGAAUAUUGGUCAAUGGGCGGAAGCCUGAACCAGCCAAGUCGCGUGAGGGAAGAAGGCCCUGCGGGUCGCAGACCUCUUUGGACGGGGAGCAAGGCCGCCGACGUGUCGGCGGAAGGAGAGUACCCGUAGAACAAGCAUCGGCUAACUCCGUGCCAGCAGCCGCGGUAAUACGGAGGAUGCGAGCGUUAUCCGGAUUUAUUGGGUUUAAAGGGUGCGUAGGCGGGACGGUAAGUCAGCGGUAAAAAUGCGGAGCUCAACUCCGUCGAGCCGUUGAAACUGCCGU
rnacentral:rRNA from 1 species